UACGUAGGUGACAAGCGUUGUCCGGAUUUACUGGGCGUAAAGAGCGCGCAGGCGGUCGUUCAAGUCGAGUGUGAAAGCCCCCGGCUCAACUGGGGAGGGUCAUUCGAUACUGAUCGACUCGAAGGCAGGAGAGGGAAGUGGAAUUCCCGGUGUAGUGGUGAAAUGCGUAGAUAUCGGGAGGAACACCAGUGGCGAAGGCGACUUCCUGGCCUGUUCUUGACGCUGAGGCACGAAAGCUAGGGGAGCAAACGGG
rnacentral:rRNA from 1 species